rnacentral:rRNA from 1 species
CUACGAAGGGGGCUAGCGUUGCUCGGAAUCACUGGGCGUAAAGGGUGUCGUAGGCGGGUCUUUAAGUCAGGGGUGAAAUCCUGGAGCUCAACUCCAGAACUGCCUUUGAUACUGAAGAUCUUGAGUUCGGGAGAGGUGAGUGGAACUGCGAGUGUAGAGGUGAAAUUCGUAGAUAUUCGCAAGAACACCAGUGGCGAAGGCGG